rnacentral:rRNA from 1 species
UACGUAGGGUGCAAGCGUUAAUCGGAAUUACUGGGCGUAAAGCGUGCGCAGGCGGUUUUGUAAGUCUGUCGUGAAAUCCCCGGGCUCAACCUGGGAAUUGCGAUGGAGACUGCAAGGCUAGAAUCUGGCAAGAGGGGGGUAGAAUUCCGACGUGUGAGCAGUGAAAUGCGUAGAGAUGUGGAGGAACACCGAUGGCGAAGGCAGCCCCUGGGUCAAGAUUGACGCUCCAUGCACGAAAGCGUGGGA